rnacentral:rRNA from 1 species
GACGAACGCUGGCGGCGUGCUUAACACAUGCAAGUCGAACGGAAAGGCCCUGCUUUUGUGUGGUUCUCGAGUGGCGAACGGGUGAGUAACACGUGAGUAACCUGCCCUUGACUUUGGGAUAACUUCAGGGAACUGGGGCUAAUACCGGAUAGGAGCUCCUGCUGCAUGGUGUGGGUUGGAAAGUUUCGGCGGUUGGGGAUGGACUCGCGGCUUAACCGCUUGUUGGUGGGGUAGUGGCUUACCAAGGUUUUGACGGGUAGCCGGCCUGAGAGGGUUACCGGCGACAUUGGGACUGAGAUACGGCCCAGACUGCUAUGGGAGGCAGUAGUGGGGAAUAUUGCACAAUGGGCGGAAGCCUGAUGCAGCAACGCCGCGUGCGGGAUGACGGCCUUCGGGUUGUAAACCGCUUUCGAAUGUGACGAAGCGUGAGUGACGGUAAUGGGUAAAGAAGCAACGGCUAACUACGUG